AUUACGAGUGGAAUUGAAAACAAAACUCCGAUAUCCUCGGUGGAAAUACCCAGCGUAGCGUGGCAUAAUAAUAUUGCUGUGUUUAUGUAGGCAUUUGCUGCCUGCAGUCUGUUUCCAAGGCAAAAGAGAUCAGAAAUCCCUCAUCAUCUGUGUAGAGGAUCUCUCUCUGUUUUCAGCAGCAUGGACCCACAAAGCCACCCAGAAAUUUUCUUUCCGUGGCUAACACAUUAAAACACCUCAUGUCUGAGAAGGAGUAUCAUUUAUAUGUAUUAACUAUCGGUACUUCCGUUUGAAAUAACGACACAAAAAAGUAAAAAAAAAAAUAAUCCAGCAGUGAAUCUAAAUUAAUUUCAGCUGCUCAAGCUCUUCCAGUCUGACCAAGGCUUCUGUACUCUGACCAAGUGACUGUUUGCAUCGUCGAAAGCCUGGAGGACACGGCUGAAGUGCAGCAGCAUUACAGAAAGGAAUUUUGCAGAGAGCUCACCCCUCAGCUGGGCAAUUCCCCUUUCACAAGCCUUUUGGAAGGAACCAGUGUUCAAGCCAGCCUUGUGCAACUCAGAGCGUGGUCGUUAAGCCAAGCCUAGGCUGAAACAACCGAGCAGAACGCGCGUGCGCGCAGAUGCCUGGAGAGGCAUCAAGGCUGGGCUUAGGGAGAGGAACCGGGUGUGAAACAGGCUCUGUGGUCACAGUGGGUGGGGAGGGCUGGGUGCUCCGGCCCCCCCUCUGCAUUAGGGACCCCCCGAGGCCCCCCCUGUGCCUGGGGCUUGGACUGGGUGGGCUGUGGGAGCUGCCGGAGGCAGGGGUUAACCUUCCCAGAGACUCGCUUUGCAGCUCCUCAUAAGAGGGGAAGUCUGUGGAAGAAUAUUCUGGGGGAUCUUGUGGAGAAACUCGUGUCCUUGCAUUAAACCCUUCAGCCUCUUGUCCUCUCUCUCGUUACGUCCCUAAUAUUGCACAAAGGAGAGAUCCCAGCAACGCCAAUGUAAAAAACAGAUUUAUUUUUUUUUCCUUAAUUGAAAUUGUUUCUGAUCAAGUUCCAAACAGGUAUUUUGCAAGCAGCAGGCGCAUACCCACGUUACCUCCAUUAAUUGUAGCUGGUAAUACAUGUUUUGGGUUUAGGUUAUAUACCUGUGAUCUUAACCUCAGCCACGGGCAGCAGGAGCACUCACAGAGCUUGCGUCUUCUCUGUUACCACCACGUGCUCUCGUCGAUGUGCAUUUCUGCAUCAUAUAAUAUGAUCACAGCUGCAAGACUGCAGAACCCCCCUGCUUGGGUCUGUGUCUUUACCCGCUUAACUUUAAUAUUUUGGGAACUGCAGACUUUAUUUCCUCCUUGGGAGUAUUGAAAAAAAAAUGCAGGAAAACCAUCUCACCACCAGAAGGAGAUGCUAUAAAAAGAAAAGUGUGAAAGAAAAAAUGCUGGAAAUCUGUUUUUACUAUUGAAAUGAAGCAUAUUUCAUUGCCUAAUGGAAUUUAUCUUCUCAGGUAAUGUGUUUUGUGCUGUAAGGAAACAGACAGCCAUGUUCUCAUGAGCUCCUCAAGGUACAAGUUUGUGACAGCUGUCAAAAUAUAUUGUGCUGCGGAAGCUCGCUGCCAGGACGCAUCCCGCGGGAGAGCCACCGGCUUCGGCACCCAGGAGCAGACUGAGGACAGACCCAUUCGUCUCCGUCCCGCCCGGCAGCCUGGUGCGUGGCCGUGGCUUGGAGGCAGCAGCGAUGCCCGGGCACUUUUAUUCAUGUGAUUAAUAAUCCCAAGGCUCUACCUUAAAAGGAUGGAAAACUUAGGGUGACCCCGGAGGUUCAAUAUUUGCAGACUCAUUGCAAAGGUUUUCCUGUCCUGUACCAGACUUGGCGGAAGAACCGCUGUGCCGCGAAGGCACUGCUGCUGCUGCACGGUGCGGUAUGUUCACACGCUCAGCCCGAAGGGGAGAGAGACAUGGUGACAUAUUUCCUCGCAGUGCAAUUCCCAGAAACAUCAAUCAGCACUAAAGCAUUUGUACAACAUAGCUUUUUCAGUAGGGUGCACUGACCAAAGAAAAGCAGUGUUGCAGCCAACCGUUAAGCCGUUUUCUACUGGCUUUUGAAAUAAUGAUAUAUCCAUUAAUUUACGCCGGCCUUUGAACUCUGUCAGGAACUGUGCUUGUGCACCUUCAUUGCGUUACUGUAGAGUUUGUUUUAGCACGGAGACAUGGAUGGGUAGCUCUGUGCUGCAACCGAGAGAAGAGAAGCUCUGUGACCAAUGGACAAGACAGGUUGGAUGCAUUUCACUCCCAUAAACAAUAGGAUAACGUAUUGAUCCGGAGGGAGAUAGCAUUUGCCAUAUGCUUGGUGCUGAAGUCUUUUGCCCGGAAGAGCAAGAGUUGGCCCCAGAUCAAAGCUCUGUCGUUAAACUUGCCUUGAUCUUUGAGGAAAUUCUCAGCUUCCUUUGGCCGCUCCUCUCGGGUUGGAACAGAAGAGGACAGCCGUCAGUUGCCGUCACCUCCAGCAAUGCCAGUGGCUCUGCUGCCUGUUAUAAAAGCUGAGGGCCAAACCACCUGAAAUGAAACGUGGGAUCCCUCGGAGGUGUUUCUGG